rnacentral:rRNA from 1 species
AGCUUCCUACGGGGGGCAGCAGUGAGGAAUAUUGGUCAAUGGGCGGAAGCCUGAACCAGCCAAGUCGCGUGAGGGAUUAAGGCCCUAUGGGUCGUAAACCUCUUUUGUCAGGGAGCAAUGGCGUCCACGUGUGGGCGUAUGGAGAGUACCUGAAGAAAAAGCAUCGGCUAACUCCGUGCCAGCAGCCGCGGUAAUACGGAGGAUGCGAGAGUUAUCCGGAUUUAUUGGGUUUAAAGGGUGCGUAGGCGGGUCCUUAAAUCAGCGGUAAAAUUUCGGUGCUCAAAGCCGUAGAG